GACGAACGCUGGCGGCGUGCCUAAUACAUGCAAGUCGAGCGGACAGAUGGGAGCUUGCUCCCUGAUGUUAGCGGCGGACGGGUGAGUAACACGUGGGUAACCUGCCUGUAAGACUGGGAUAACUCCGGGAAACCGGGGCUAAUACCGGAUGGUUGUCUGAACCGCAUGGUUCAAACAUAAAAGGUGGCUUCGGCUACCACUUACAGAUGGACCCGCGGCGCAUUAGCUAGUUGGUGAGGUAACGGCUCACCAAGGCAACGAUGCGUAGCCGACCUGAGAGGGUGAUCGGCCACACUGGGACUGAGACACGGCCCAGACUCCUACGGGAGGCAGCAGUAGGGAAUCUUCCGCAAUGGACGAAAGUCUGACGGAGCAACGCCGCGUGAGUGAUGAAGGUUUUCGGAUCGUAAAGCUCUGUUGUUAGGGAAGAACAAGUACCGUUCGAAUAGGGCGGUACCUUGACGGUACCUAACCAGAAAGCCACGGCUAACUACGUGCCAGCAGCCGCGGUAAUACGUAGGUGGCAAGCGUUGUCCGGAAUUAUUGGGCGUAAAGGGCUCGCAGGCGGUUUCUUAAGUCUGAUGUGAAAGCCCCCGGCUCAACCGGGGAGGGUCAUUGGAAACUGGGGAACUUGAGUGCAGAAGAGGAGAGUGGAAUUCCACGUGUAGCGGUGAAAUGCGUAGAGAUGUGGAGGAACACCAGUGGCGAAGGCGACUCUCUGGUCUGUAACUGACGCUGAGGAGCGAAAGCGUGGGGAGCGAACAG
rnacentral:rRNA from 1 species